AUUGAACGCUGGCGGCAUGCUUUACACAUGCAAGUCGAACGGCAGCGCGGGCCUCGGCCUGGCGGCGAGUGGCGAACGGGUGAGUAAUACGUCAGUACGCGCCCCGUAGUGGGGGAUUGCGCGGCGAAAGCCGGAUUAAUAACGCAUACGACCCGUGGGUGAAAGCGGGGGAGUUGCGGAGCUCGAGCUGUUUUAGCUGCCGUUGGCAGAUUAGCUAGUUGGUGGGGUAAAGGCCUACCACGGCGACGAUCCGUAGAUGGUCUGUGAGGGAGAGCAGCCACACUGGGACUGGGACGCGGCCCAGACUCCUACGGGAGGCAGCAGUGGGGAAUUUUGGACAAUGGGCGAAAGCCUGAUCCAGCAAUGCCGCGUGUGUGAUGAAGGCCUUCGGGUUGUAAAGCACUUUUGGCGGGAACGAAAAGGACUGUGCCAAUACCACGGUUCGAUGACGGUACCCGCAGAAUAAGCACCGGCUAACUACGUG
rnacentral:rRNA from 1 species